GACGAACGCUGGCGGCGUGCUUAACACAUGCAAGUCGAACGGAAAGGCCCUGCUUGCAGGGUACUCGAGUGGCGAACGGGUGAGUAACACGUGGGUGCUCUGCCCUGCACUUCGGGAUAAGCCUGGGAAACUGGGUCUAAUACCGGAUAGGAGCCAUUUUUAGUGUGAUGGUUGGAAAGUUUUUUCGGUGUAGGAUGAGCUCGCGGCCUAUCAGCUUGUUGGUGGGGUAAUGGCCUACCAAGGCGGCGACGGGUAGCCGGCCGGAGAGGGUGGACGGCCACAGGGGGACGGAGAGACGGCCCAGACUCCUACGGGAGGCAGCAGGGGGGAAUAUUGCACAAUGGGCGCAAGCCUGAUGCAGCGACGCCGCGUGGGGGAUGACGGCCUUCGGGGUGUAAACUCCUUUCGCUAGGGACGAAGCUUUUUGUGACGGUACCUAGAUAAGAAGCACCGGCUAACUAC
rnacentral:rRNA from 1 species